CUCCGCUGCUGCCAGCAGCUCCUCUCCGGCUCUCGCAAGCACCAACAAACAUGAGUGAGACAGUCAUGUGGCAAAAAGCAGCAUGAUCACUGCGACCGGCCACAACAAUAAGCGGGCACCAGAAGCACCUCGGACCUGGAUUACUGAGUGGGGUGAAAUAGCGACUUUCUCUAAAGAGCUCAAGUGUCAGCGGUUGACAGAGGUGGCAUCCUGUAAGAAGAUUUGCUUAAAAGAUUUUUUCAAAAAAAAAGCAGUAGUGUAAUGGAGGGGACUUCCAGCUAACCAGCAGCAGCGUGGUGCCAUGAGGAAAUACUGAUGAAAGAAUGCUGAUCAUAGCGAUGACUUAAUCAGACCGAUGCCACAAGAAACCAGGCCACCAGGAGUGGCACCCACUGUGGUGCCAUAGUUCCUGCUUUUGGAAGAUUCAUGUGAUGACAGGAGAUGAGACUGCAGAUGCUGGAAUCUGGAACAAAAAAAUAAACUGCUGGAGAACUCAAUGGAUCAAGCAGCAUCUGUGGAGGCAAAGUGAUCUUUCCUUCCACAGGUGCUGCUUAACCAGCUGAGUUCUUCCAGCAGUUUAUUUUUUGCUUCAUACGAUGACACUUUGACAGCUGUCACAAUGACCUGUAUUGAUAUCUAUCAUUUGCUCAGUAGUCAGUGUAGAUUCUGUCUACAUCCAGCAGCUACAUCUGGCUACUGGGUCUCUGAUGGCAUCACAUUCCACUUCAGGGGCCUCAUUUAUUUUUGUGGCUUUGUAUCCAAGGUCAAUCAACUGGAAGAUGAAGCCUUCAGCUAACAUUCAGAUAUUCACUACAGUUACUAAGUUGAACCCGUAAAUACCCAACUUUUGGGAUUAGUAAAAGAAACUCAGAUCUGAUCAUCAACUGCAUGUUAUUGGCAACUUUAUAAUUUUUGGUACAUUAGGCUUCAUAAUUGAAAAUCACAGCUGCAUUCAUUUUCUUUGGGUCCUUUUGAUCUACUAACUGUUCUCUUGCUGUGUCCACUGCCAUAUUUUGUUCCUUAUCAGCCAUUCUGUCUGAAUGUGACCUACUGUGGGUUCAUCUUCUCUAAAUCUUUUAUAAUCCUCAGUUGACAUUUUGUUAAAUGUUGGAAAGCUGCUACAUGUUUUUAAAUCACCAUGUCUCCCUGAACCAUGGAUCUAGCUAUCCAUCAACUUUCACUUCAGCCUAUUUUCAAGUCAUGUGUUACUAAUUUGUUUGUUAAAUGUUAGAAAGCUGCUGAACUUUGUUAGAUCACCAUGUCUCCCUGAACCACGGCAAAGACCACUUGCAAAAAAUCUUUUGUUGAUUUCUGGAUCCCUUGAAACAUUUCAGAUGUUACUCUUCCUAUUGUCAGAUGUGAGCCUUGAUACCUGACUAUUGUCUUGCCCUCACAUUGCAUAGAUAAGUAAAAGGAAGCAGUUUCUAGUCAUUUGCCUUGCAGAUAUAUUCUUCUUCCAAGUUGGCACUGGCUUUAGUGGCCAGGAUGUUUCUUUUUCCCACACUACUGAUGCAGUUUUAGUUCCAUCUAUCUUUUGAUGAUAAAUUUGACUUUUUUUUUAAAACAUUUCUAUAGCAAAUAGUUUUACUUGGGCUGUAGGCAGAGUUCCUAUUCCUAUUCCUAUCAUUCUUUUAGAAUAUACUUAUUUGCCUCUUUGGAACAUUUUGAUAAUUCUGCACUAAAACCAACAAUGAUGCUGCAAAGGUUGCUAAUUAACAUGUGCAAAAGUUUUGAAAAUAAAUAACAGAUGGCAGGAUGUUUUAAAUUGUGGUAUUAAGUCUUGCCACUGGAGACCACUAAAAUUGUUACAAGGAUCACUGGCAGCCCCUACUGGUAAUUACAACAAACUGCAUAACUAUCUGGACUUCACACUAUCAAACAACAUUCAGUUUAUUCUUUAUCGGACAUUAAUGGUGCUACAUUACUUUCACAAAUCUGGAAUUUCUACUUUGGGCUAUAUCAAGACAGUCAGAAUGUAAGGUGCAGACUGAAGAGUGAAUUUAGGAAGGAUGGUCAUACUUGUAUUGAUCUCUAUGAAGUGUAACAGGAGCAGAAACCUGUAGUAUAAUGAUGGGAAAUGCUGUAGUUUUUUUAAGGAUAAUCUUACUCAUCUGGUUUCUUUUCUAAUUGUCUAUUGUACAUUAGCUAUCCAUCAACUUUCUC